rnacentral:rRNA from 1 species
GACGAACGCUGGCGGCGCGCUUAACACAUGCAAGUCGAGCGAAGCGGCGGACGGGUGAGUAACCCGUGAGUAACCUGCCUUAGACAUUGGGAUAGCCUCGGGAAACCGGGAUUAAUACCAAAUGGUCUAAGAUGGACUCGCGUCCCAUUAGCGAGUUGGUGAGGUAACGGCCCACCAAGGCGACGAUGGGUAGCCGGCAUGAGAGGGUGAACGGCCACAUUGGAACUGGGAAACGGUCCAAACUCUACGGGAGGCAGCAGUGGUGACUAUUGCACAAUGGAUGGAAGUCUGAUGCAGUGACGCCGCGAGAACGAGUAAGUCGUUCGAGUCGUAAAGUUCUGUUAUAUGGGAAGCGGUACCAUAAGAAAAAGCCCCGGCUAACUACGUGCCAGCAGCCGCGGUAAUUC